UACGGAGGGGGCGAGCGUUUAUUCGGAAUUAUUGGGCGUAAAGGGCGCGUAGGCGGCCCGGUAAGUCAAAGGUGAAAUCCCUCGGCUCAACUGAGGAACUGCCUUUGAAACUGUCGGGCUUGAGGCCGGGAGGGGGUAGCGGAAUUCCCAGUGUAGCGGUGAAAUGCGUAGAUAUUGGGAGGAACACCAGUGGCGAAGGCGGCUACCUGGACCGGUUCUGACGCUGAUGCGCGAAAGCGUGGGUAGCAACAGG
rnacentral:rRNA from 1 species